rnacentral:rRNA from 1 species
GACGAACGCUGGCGGCGUGCUUAACACAUGCAAGUCGAACGGAAAGGCCCUGCUUUUGUGGGGUGCUCGAGUGGCGAACGGGUGAGUAACACGUGAGUAUCCUGCCCUUGACUUUGGGAUAACUUCAGGAAACUGGGGCUAAUACCGGAUAGGAGCUCCUGCUGCAUGGUGGGGGUUGGAAAGUUUCGGCGGUUGGGGAUGGACUCGCGGUUUAUCAGCCUGUUGGUGGGGUAGUGGCGUACCAAGGCUUUGACGGGUAGCCGGCCUGAGAGGGUGACCGGCCACAUUGGGACUGCGGUAGGCACCAGACUCCAACGGGAGGCAGCAGUGGGGAAUAUUGCAGAAUGGGCGGAAGCCUGAUGCAGCAACGCCGCGUGCGGGAUGACGGCCUUCGGGUUGUAAACCGCUUUCGCCUGUGACGAAGCGUGAGUGACGGUAAUGGGUAAAGAAGCACCGGCUAACUACGUG